UGUUAAAGCAUUGCACCCAGAGUCUGGAUCCACCAGACAUCAUACCUGGAGCUUUUGUUUUAAUUAAAGACGUUC
rfam:Astyanax mexicanus chromosome 18, whole genome shotgun sequence.